UUUGAGAAUUUUCAGAUCGUUACGUGAUCAUAUGAUAAUAUAUUAUUCAAUUAUAAUAAAAUCUUGAUUAAUAUACUCAAUUUAUUGGUUUCAGCUCAUUUGGUGGAAAAACGCAUGAUUUUUUCCGGUACGCACGCAGUGCUGAAAAAUACACUAAGGUCGGCUCUAAGCAUCCACUGUAUGUGUUCUUCAAAGGCCUGUUCAAACUUUUAUCAAAAAUAUUCUCUGCCGAUAAUGUCAUACAAACUGCUCCUGAUUUAUAUCAAAACAAUACUUAAAUAUAAACACGAUGGGUGAAAAUGGGCAAUAUAACAAAAUACACAUUCACAAGGUAUAUAAUAUGAAAUUCUUUUAUUAUUUAUUUACUAUUUUUUCAUUUAUACAACACAGAUCCGAUUUAAUGUAGAUAUGUCAUAAUGUAUUUAUGAACUAUUUGUUAUAUUAUAUUCCUAUUUUAAUUGCUAUAGUUAUUACAAACAAUCUUAGUGCAUUAUACUAUCAUAAAAAUAUAAUAUUCAAUAUUAGUAAUUUA